ACGGGAGGCAGCAGUGGGGAAUAUUGGACAAUGGGGGAAACCCUGAUCCAGCGACGCCGCGUGAGUGAAGAAGUAUUUCGGUAUGUAAAGCUCUAUCAGCAAGGAAGAAAAUGACGGUACUUGACUAAGAAGCCCCGGCUAACUACGUGCCAGCAGCCGCGGUAAUACGUAGGGGGCAAGCGUUAUCCGGAUUUACUGGGUGUAAAGGGAGCGUAGACGGUAUGGCAAGUCUGAAGUGAAAUGCCAGGGCUUAACCCUGGAACUGCUUUGGAAACUGUCGUACUAGAGUGCAGGAGAGGUAAGUGGAAUUCCUAGUGUAGCGGUGAAAUGCGUAGAUAUUAGGAGGAACACCAGUGGCGAAGGCGGCUUACUGGACUGUAACUGACGUUGAGGCUCGAAAGCGUGGGGAGCAAACAGGAUUAGAUACCCUGGUA
rnacentral:rRNA from 1 species